UCAAGUUCAAAAAUAUCAAAGAUUGCGUCAUAAUCUCACCAAAGCCCUCUCCCCUGGAUGAUUAAUUGCGCAAACUUAUAUAAUGAGAACUUCUUAUCUGAGGGUACUCAUCUACCAUUCAGUUUGCACCACCUCACCUCAACGAGACGCAAUUCAUAUAAAACAUCAAGCACACUAACAGGCAACAGACUUCGAGUUGAGUCCUUUUCCAAUUCUGCGGUCUUAAUUUUCUUGAUUCAACCGCCACCGCCAAAGGAAGAUGAGCAUAAUUAUUUUCUGUUCCGCACCUGCGCUGACCUCGGACUCCCUACGUACCUGGUGGCAAUUUUCCACUGCAAUCCCACUUUACCUCUCCGCGCUGCAAUGAACGCGCUGGAGGUGGAAAUUGGUGGCCGCCGGCAGGGCGUUACCAAGAAGAUGCUUGCCACUCCGGCAGCCCGGCUCAAGAUAUCGAAAAUUGAAUUAUUUGCCACGUUUGCAGCGGUUUGGAAGGCGGUGAC
rnacentral:misc_RNA from 1 species